rnacentral:rRNA from 1 species
GCAAAACGCGAAGAACCUUACCAAGGCUUGACAUAUACGAGAACGGGCCAGAAAUGGUCAACUCUUUGGACACUCGUAAACAGGUGGUGCAUGGUUGUCGUCAGCUCGUGUCGUGAGAUGUUGGGUUAAGUCCCGCAACGAGCGCAACCCUCGUUCUAUGUUGCCAGCACGUUAUGGUGGGAACUCAUGGGAUACUGCCGGGGUCAACUCGGAGGAAGGUGGGGAUGACGUCAAAUCAUCAUGCCCCUUAUGUCUUGGGCUUCACGCAUGCUACAAUGGCCGGUACAAAGGGCUGCAAUACCGUGAGGUGGAGCGAAUCCCAAAAAGCCGGUCCCAGUUCGGAUUGAGGUCUGCAACUCGACCUCAUGAAGUCGGAGUCGCUAGUAAUCGCAGAUCAGCAACGCUGCGGUGAAUACGUUCCCGGGUCUUGUACACACCG